rnacentral:lncRNA from 1 species
UCCCCUGCACAAGAUUUUCAAUUUGCUGCUCAGCUAAACAUCGCCUCAGUUCUUCUAAUUCAUCAUGUUCUUUCUCCAUGAUAGCCUCCAUUUCAUCCAAAUCUUUCAUCUUACACUGCAGUUUCUUCAACUAGUGUUGCAACCCAGUAAAACAAAUAGAUUAGAAGCUGAAUAGUGAAAAUGAAUCACCAAUUAUAGUAGGUUCUGUUU